rnacentral:misc_RNA from 1 species
UCCGAUUUGUCACCGGCAGUCUCCCUAGAGUCCCCGACAUAACUCGCUGGCAACUAUUCACAAGGGUUGCGCUCGUUGAUGGACUUAACCAAACAUCUCACGACACGAGCUGACGACGGCCAUGCAACACCUGUCACAGGGUUCCAAAAGGCACACUUCACUUUCGUGAUGCUUCCCUGGAUGUCAAGCCCUGGUAAGGUUCUUCGUUUAUCAUCGAAUUAAAGAACACGAUCCACCGCUUGUGCUGAUCCCCGUCAAUUCCUUUAUGUUUUAGUCUUGCGACCGUACUCCACAGGCGGGAUACUUAACGCGUUAGCUUCGCUACUGAAGGGGUCGAUACCUCCAACAGCUAGUAUCCAUCGUUUACGGCGUGGACUAC